rnacentral:tRNA from 1 species
AGGUGAUUAUUUUAAUUAAAAUAUUUGAUUUCGGCUCAAAGGAUCGCGGUUAAAGUCCGCAAUCAUCUA